UUCUUUAAUUCCAUAUUUAUGUACCCAUAUCUUGUUAACUGUGGCGUGAUGUAAUUUUUCACAUAAGGCUGUGAGUGAAUUGGAACACAAAUAUGAACUGGUAGUUUUUGCUUGAGUGGAAACUGACAUAAGUCAUUAAAUAUAAUGGAGGGUUUAAAUGUAUUUAUUAUUCUCAUGAUUCUGAUUUCACAUUUCUUGAAGUAUGAACUUGGUAUGUUAUUUCUUUCAGUUAUUUCUAAUUUGGAGAUCACAAAAUUGAUUUUUAUCCUUUUAGAUCUUAUUUUGUUAUACUUUUCUGGUAAGUACAAUUGGGAUAUAAAAUAUAUACAGAGGACGUUUUAAACUUGUGCAUGAAUUAUAAUUCUCUUCUUUAGAGCAAAACUUGAUUCUUUCCAUUAUAAAACAGCUACUGUAUUACUGACCAGUGUUUUAGCCUUUUUCUUUUGGCCAACCAGGAUAAGGUCAUCUGUUGGGCACAUGCAUUUGUUCUCAUACAGGCAGACACCCAUUGCUUCUAAGAUUCCUGCCAAUUGCCAUUGGUACAAAGAAAAAGGAGACUGAAGAGAGGAGAUAGCAUGUGCCAGCGAAGUAGAAGGAGCCGGUGUAUGUCUGGGUAUGAUCAUAUAAACAACCUGGAAGGAAGUGGCAGCAUGUAGUUCUGAAUGCCUCUGCCAGCACAUUGGAUUUGGAUGAGUGAUGACAUUUGGCCAAUACUUAGGUCAGGUAACCUAGAACAACUCUAAAACCAACCUAAUCUGAAGCAGGCCCUAUUAAUAACUAAAAUUGAAUUUGUCACUGAGUGUUGGAAAGGAAUAGGAGGCAUGGCGUGGGCAAGGCCAGUGACCUGUGGAAGUGCUGGUGGGAAGGGGAGGGGUUGGAUCAUUUUUAACUUACCCAUUUCAAUUGCUGUUGGGUAGUUUUAGCAAAGAUCUCAUAAAGAAUUUUGUUGCUGCUAUCUUUCUUAUAUUUAUAGCUGAAGAAGGUAUUUAAAUAGGUUUCUUAUAUGCUCUAUAUUUUUUAAAAGAAAAAAGUAUUUUUCAAAAACUUAGUUAUCUGAUUCCUAAGGGCGUCCUCUGCUUUUUUUCUUUUUUGGGCUUAUUAAAAUAUAUGUAUAUGGCUAACUUGUUUUUCUUUUUCAUUUC